rnacentral:snoRNA from 1 species
AUGUCAUCAUGAGGACAUCUCCUGAGUAACUCCUUAAAUCUUUCAUAUGCAUCACACAAACUCUCAUCUUUAAGUUGAUGGAAAAAUGUGAUCUCAUUCCUCAAUUU